GACUACAGGGGUAUCUAAUCCCUUUCGCUCCCCUAGCUUUCGUCCCUGAGUGUCAGUACAGGUCCAGUAGAGCGCCUUCGCCACUGGUGUUCUUCCCAAUCUCUACGCAUUUCACCGCUACACUGGGAAUUCCCUCUACCCCUACCGUACUCUAGUUCAUCAGUUUCCACUGCCGCUCCAGGGUUAAGCCCUAGUCUUUGACAGCAGACUUGAUGUACCACCUGCGGACGCUUUACGCCCAAUAAUUCCGGAUAACGCUUGCAUCCUCCGUAUUACCGCGGCUGCUGGCACGGAGUUAGCCGAUGCUGAUUCCUCAAGUACCGUCAGUGCUUCUUCCUUGAGAAAAGAGGUUUACAACCCAAAAGCCUUCCUCCCUCACGCGGUAUUGCUCCGUCAGGCUUGCGCCCAUUGCGGAAAAUUCCCCACUGCUGCCUCCCGUAGGAGUCUGGGCCGUGUCUCAGUCCCAGUGUGGCUGCUCAUCCUCUCAGACCAGCUACCGAUCGUCGCCUUGGUGCGCUUUUACCACCCCAACUAGCUAAUCGGACGCGAGCUCCUCUUCAGGCGAAAAACUUUCACCUUGCGGCACAUUGGGUAUUAGCAGUCAUUUCUAACUGUUGUCCCCAUCCUGAAGGCAGAUUCUCACGCGUUACUCACCCGUCCG
rnacentral:rRNA from 1 species